UUCAAAUGGUACAGUNAACCCCUGACACGUCAGGGGGAUUCUUCCCAAAUAAAAGAAGUUUACAACCCGUAGGGCCGUCAUCCUUCACGCGGCAUGGCUGGUUCAGACUUGCGUCCAUUGACCAAUAUUCCUU
rnacentral:rRNA from 1 species